rnacentral:lncRNA from 1 species
AUCUGAAAAUUCCCCCAUAAAAGUUUUCUUCAAGUUUUACAUUCUAAAUUUGAAUUUCAAAAAAUUCAAAAUAGAAACUGGAGAUCUGAAAUUAGAAGUUCAAAAUUCUGCAGAGUUUUCAAAGUCCCUUUGUAUCAUAGAUAUUUUUAAAAAAAAACUCCAAAAAUACUACUUCAUUCAAGUUUUCUUAGAUUAAAUAUUGAGUUUCAGCUUUAGAUAAAAUUAUCAAGUUCAUGGAAGGUUAAGAAAUAGUUCGGGUACUUCCAGUUUUCAUUAGUUCAAGUUCAGAAAGAUUCUGGGUUAAUUUCGAGUUUGCUUGGGCUUAGUUUGAUCUGUUUUCAGUGGUUUAUUGAUGUUUAUUCCUCUACAAAUCAUUCCUGGUUGUUUUGACAUUGUUUUAUAUUGAAACUCUGGUUUGUGACCGCUGCUUACUGCUACUGAUCCUUCAUUUUCUUAUUUUCGACCCAUUUCCAGGUACAACCUCUCAAAAUCUCUAUGUACUACAAAAAGGCUGAUUUGAAGAAGAAAUGAGAGGACUAGAAGAUCUGUUGUUUGCGUAUAUGUUUUGUGUGCUAUAAUUGUUGUUUCAUUCCAUAAUUCUCUAUAUUUGUUGGGUGAUUUCUAUCAUUUCCCCUUUGGACACAUUGUAAUUGAAAAUUGGGCGGUUAUUGUUUGAGAGUACUUUGCACAUCAUAUAGGUUAUUGUAAUUGAAACAGGACUUCAUGUGAAUUUGAGUAGGUCUAUUAAUCCUUUAGUUUGAAAUUCGAAAUCAUCAUAAUAGCCUAUCAUCUGUUUGCGAUUUGGACAAUGUCGUUAUACUUGGUUAUGAGUGGAUAUUUGAAGCAAUGUAACUGAACUGGAAAUCAUGUU